UCAUAUUUAGUAUAAAAAAUAUAUUAGAUUUAGAUUCUAAAGAUGUUUAAUAUGUGU
rnacentral:tRNA from 1 species